rnacentral:rRNA from 1 species
GAGUUUGAUCGUGGCUCAGGAUGAACGCUGGCGGCGUGCCUAAUACAUGCAAGUCGAGCGAACAGACGAGGAGCUUGCUCCUCUGACGUUAGCGGCGGACGGGUGAGUAACACGUGGAUAACCUACCUAUAAGACUGGGAUAACUUCGGGAAACCGGAGCUAAUACCGAAUAAUAUAUUGAACCGCAUGGUUCAAUAGUGAAAAACGGUUUUGCUGUCACUUAUAGAUGGAUCCGCGCCGCAUUAGCUAGUUGGUAGGGUAACGGCUUACCAAGGCGACGAUGCGUAGCCGACCUGAGAGGGUGAUCGGCCACACUGGAACUGAGACACGGUCCAGACUCCUACGGGAGGCAGCAGUAGGGAAUCUUCCGCAAUGGGCAAAGCCUGACGGAGCAACGCCGCGUAAGUGAUGAAGGUCUUCGGAUCGUAAAACUCUGUUAUUAGGGAAGAACAAAUGUGUAAGUAACUAUGCACGUCUUGACGGUACCUAAUCAGAAAGCCACGGCUAACUACGUG